rnacentral:rRNA from 1 species
CCUACGGGGGGCAGCAGUGAGGAAUAUUGGUCAAUGGGCGAGAGCCUGAACCAGCCAAGUCGCGUGAAGGAUGACGGCCCUACGGGUUGUAAACUUCUUUUGUCAGGGAGCAAUUGGGUUCACGCGUGGCCUUAGCGAGAGUACCUGAAGAAAAAGCAUCGGCUAACUCCGUGCCAGCAGCCGCGGUAAUACGGAGGAUCCGAGCGUUAUCCGGAUUUAUUGGGUUUAAAGGGAGCGUAGGCGGAUUGUUAAGUCAGUUGUGAAAGUUUGCGGCUCAACCGUAAAAUUGCAGUUGAAACUGGCAGUCUUGAGUACAGUAGAGGUAGGCGGAAUUCGUGGUGUAGCGGUGAAAUGCUUAGAUAUCACGAAGAACUCCGAUUGCGAAGGCAGUUCACUGGACUGCAACUGACACUGAGGCUCGAAAGUGUGGGUAUCAAACAGGAUUAGAUACCCGUGUAGUC